rnacentral:lncRNA from 1 species
AGAGCUUCCUGUAAGCGAACCCGUGAAGGUUCCAGGAGGAUGGCGCACCCGGAAAGGGCGUGGAAGCUCCGCGCCCCUUCCCACAGACUUUCCCCCAUCCAUCUCUUCAUCUGGUGUUCAUCGAUAGCCUUUGUAAUGUCCUUAAUAGUAAACCGGAAAACGAGAAAGAUGUGCAAGGAUGCACACCAAACUGUUGUCGUCGUCACUGGUUUCCUAAUGGGAAGGAUAAGAGGAAGAGGAGAUGGAGUCUCACUCUGUUGCCCAGACGAGUGCAGUGGCACAAUCUUGGCUCACUGCAACCUUCACCUCCUGGUUCAAGCAAUUCUCCUGCCUCAGCCUCCCAAAGUGGAGGAAGAAGAGAAUCACCACAUAUCGUAUUUAGAGGUCCUGCAGAAAGGGCAGAGCGAGUUUCAUGUUUGAGUGCAGCGGAUGCAUGGGCAAAGCAUUACACAGCCGCUCCAUGGAAGUGACAAUGAGCCUUGUCUUUCACACGUAACUCCAGGAACCAGGGGAAACAAAACCAAUUCCACCCAGAGGUACAGACAAAGAAGAGCACCCUCCCAAAGGAGCCCGCAUGAUAAGUGGCCACGGCGAACAUCACUGUGAUCAGUCAGAAAGGCAGGCGAGUUAUUAGCUUAGCCCUGAACCUCCUACUUAAUGUAGAACCAGUGGUGAUGGUUAACAGACCCUGGCUGCAGUGACAAGCCUGGGACCUGCUCGAGGAAAUCCAAUUGAAAAGCAGCCAAGAGGAACAACAAGCUAGAAACAGAUGUUCCAGCUACCAGGAUGUGCACGCAUUUAACCUGAACAUGUAGUUGGGGUGGGAUGGUAGCAUUCGUUUCUAAAUAUAGUGAUUUCACUUCUUCCCCCAUAUAGAUAUUGUCAAGUUUAAUUAUAGCCAUCCACAUUAGUUUUGUCAAAUUUUCAGCAAUUUCUUUAAAAUAAGAAGAUGUCAGAAUGAUAACUGCUAUUAAGGGAAUUCAGGGUGUUUGGUUUAUCUACCCAGUCUUACUAAAACAUUUCAGUUAAAUCAUCCACUCUUAAACUCCAGUCUCAUAGCAAUUAAAAAUUAUCUUUUAAAAAAUUGCCCAAAUGAAAUUCCAACAGUUCAUGUAAUUAUUUGAUUUAAUAUUACCAUGUUAGUAAAAUAUCUUUAAGAUAGUUAUAUUUUCAUGAGUCACUUUCUUAGUCACUUCUAGUUCCUAAAUAGGGGAGUUUGGGUUGACAGAGGUGUGAUAACCAUGCGAACAGGGGCUAGAAUAUAAGCUUAACAGAAUCAGUUAAUUAGAUUUGGAAGAGAGUUGAGUCUUGUGAACCACAGUGAUAUGUCAUGUACAUUAGGAAACAUUCUCCUUUACGUCAACACAAUUCUGGUUUUCUCUAAUGGGCUUUAUACGAGGAGAGAGACCAUCUCACUGUGUUGAUUUUUCUCAAGAAAAAAAUCAAUACUCUCAAUGGAUUUUAAGUAGAUCUAAUGUAGUACUGCACUAUGCUCAUAAGAAGAUAAGCAUAUGUAAAAGAUUUUAAAAUGUGAAUUAAUGCAUGCCACACUGAAACCAGAUCAUACCCCACACUCAUGUUGUUAUUAUGUGUACCUAAAGCAAAGAACAGCUGCAGAGUAUUUUCUCUGGUAACACUUCAUUUUUUAUUGGUAGGUUUUAAUCCGAUACAUUUUUGGGGUCACUGAAUUCUUAUUUGCUUUAGAAUGCCCGAUUAUAUCAUUCUGCAAAGGAUAAAAGGGCUUGAGCCAUCAUCCUGUGCUGAAAUUUAUUGAAGGUAUUUAUGAAGAGGGUGAUCUUGAGGAAUGCAAGCUUUUAAAAUCUAAGAACAGCAGCAAAAAUAAAUUAAUCAGGAAUCCAUCACUAAUUUAUACAUGAGUCACUUACGAGGAAGGUAAAACGGUUCAGUAAAUUAUGGAUUUACAAAUAAACUUGAUUCUAGGGCCUUGGAAAAUACUUCGAUUGGAAUAUAGAUCCAUUUUUCCUCAAAACAAUUUUCACUUCAACUUCAGAUGUAGGGGACAUAAAACCAAAUCCCCUCUCUGAAAAUUCAAGGGGAACUCUUUUCUGGUAACGUGAGGCAUGAGUGGUGAUGGUUCACAGGGAUUCAUCUGCUCUCCACAAACUCAGGGGUGGGACCCAUCUAUCGUUUUUCUAACUCAUUCCCAUGAAUUCUAAAUUGUCAACACCUAAGGUUAAUGAUACCUGUCUUUUUGCUGUCAUAAACAGUUAGGGUGGUUUAGCAAGAGAUAAAUCAUCUUUACACAGAGGAUUGUGCUAUUGUUCUCAGCAAACAAAGGACAAAGCUUAUUUCUGUAUAAUGUUAAACACUGUUCUAAUGAAAUAGGCUUUUUUUUCUUUUAUGCAUUAAUGAAAUUAUUAGCCUACAACACAUUUCUUUCUUGAUUUGGAACAUCUGUUCUUCAAAAGUGUGUAGAGUAAUAAUGGAGAGUUUCUACACAUCAUGGCUCACUCUCAUCUCAAAAUAUACACUGAUUUUUAAGGAAUGUGUAGAAGGAAAAGCCAACCAUCCUUUUGAUUAUUGGAUUAACCACCAGAGCUGCCUUCAUCUGAAACAUACUCCACUCGAUUGAGGAUGAUACUUUUAGCUACUAAAUAAAUACACAGAGGAGGUGUGGAAUAACAACUUUACCAAGAAUAGCCAACAAGUUCAUCUUACAACUACUAUGAGCAAAAAGCGUUCAUAAAAAAUAUCUUUUUUUUUUUUUUCUUGAGAUGGAGUUUCACUCUUUUUGCCCAGGCUGGAGUGCAGUGGCAUGAUCCCAGCUCACUGCAACCUCUGCCUCCUGGCUUCAAGAGAUUCUCCUGCCUCAGCCUCCAAGUAGCUGGGAUUACAGGCACCCACCACCACACCUGGCUAAUUUUGUAUUUUUAGUAGAGACGGGGUUUUGCCAUACUGAUCUCGAACUCCUGACCUCAUGUGAUCCACCCACCUCUGCCUUCCAAAGUGCUGGGAUUACAGGCAUGACCCACCACGCCUGGCCCAAAAAAAUAUCAGAAAAAAAAAUUGUUUUCACCCCUUUAAAUAUUAAAUAAUUGAUUUUUUUCUGAAAAUAUUUCUUAUACAAUUCAAUAAGCACACUAAUUUUAGAAUGGAGGGUCAUUAAUGCUGUAACAAAAUUGGAAAUAUUUGCUAUUAUAUGUUUUUAAUACACACUAGGUACAUAUUAAAUACUAUAUCUGUGUAAUAGUUAAACAUAUUAGGUAGUUCAUUAGGUUCAUUUAAAAUUGGCCAAGCUCAGUAGCUCACGCCUGUAAUCCCAGCAUUUUUGGAGGCUGAGGCAGGCAAAUCACUUGAGGUCAGGAGUUCAAGACCUGCCUGGCCAACAUGGUGAAACCCCGUCUCUACAGAAAAUACAAAAAUUAGCUGCGCAUGGUGGCAUGUGCCUGUGGUCCUAGCUACUUGGGAGGCUGAGGCAGGAGAACUGCUUGAAUCCAGGAGGCAGAGGUUGCAGUGAGACGAGACUGUGCACUGCACUCCAGCCUGGGUGACAGAGUUAGACUCCGUCUCAAAAAAAUAAAAUAAUAUAAUGUAAGGCCAAGGGCUCAGCAACAACGUAAUGUAAGGUGCUUAGGUAUAAUUUUACAAUUUUAAGAGAGAAUGUGCUUGAGCUAGGAACCAUUGAGAGAGAGUAGAUGGUGGCAAUAGUCAGUCAAUUGUGCUACAAAUACAUUGCAAUGGAAAAUAUACACUACAAAAUUUUACAAAAGUAGCAAACAAAAAACUUUUUUUUUUUAAUUUUUUUUGACCAAGUCUUGCUCUAUCACGCAGGCUGGAGUGCAGUGGCAUGAUCUCAGCUCACUGCAACCUCUGCCUCCCAGCUUCAAACGAUUCUCAUGCCUCAGCCUUCCAAGUAGCUGGGACUAUAAGCGUGCACCACCACACCCAGCUAAUUUUUAUAUUUUUAGUAGAGACAGGGUUUCUCCAUAUUGGCCAGGCUGGUCUUGAACUCCUGGACUUGAGUGAUCCACCCUCCUCAGCCUUCCAAAGUGCUAGGAUUACAGACGUGAGCCACCGCGCCCAGCCGGCAAACAAAAAUUUACCUAUGAUUCAAUAAAUGGUUUUCCCCUACCAGCCUUCCCCCACCACACAUAUACACUUUUUCUGAUUCUGUUUUACCAUAAUGAUGACACAGGUGCUUAACCAGCUCCGUGAGCUAUUGGGGUGGCUCCUUGCCUUGAUUUAGUCUUGUGCCCACACACUGACCCAUGCAGACUUAGCCAUGCAUCCAGCACAAAUUACGCUAUUUUACAUGUUUGGUUUAAUGUAUUCGUACCUGCUAGACAUUGUAGCCAAAAGAUUGUUUGCUGCCUAAUCCUAGCCAGCUCUUAGGGUGACUGCCUAAGCCUGUAUUGCUGGCUUCACAAGUUUUUUUGUUUCAGGUAAAUAAAAAUCAAAGAGCGUUCGAGGCAGCCGCAUUGACUCACCUUGCAGACAAGCAAGCAGAGCCGCAGAGCAGUGACCCGUGCCCAGCGCCUCGCAGCUAGAGCUGGAUUGGAAUCCAGGGCUUUGCAGGCUUCCUGCUUCACUCAAUCCUCUUUCUGUUGCCUCUGGCCUCAAGGUGUUGGCCUGGGAGGAAGUAGCAGAUUAAAUUCCAUGGGCACGAAGUCCGUAGCUGACGAAUACUUAAUAUGUUGCAGUUUCACAGUGAAAGUUGGCAAGUCCAGGGUGGGAACAUGCCCCAAGCAGCUGAGUCUUCUGGAUUUUACUUCUGUUCUUUGCCUCUCAAUUUUUGAUUUUGUUAUAUAAAAAGCAAAUCAGUAACUAUUGCAUUAUAUUCUGCAGUGACUCAACAGCGACACUUAAUUCAGCCAACCAAGGUUUACUGAACUGCUCGUGGUGCCGGGAACCGUGCUGGGAUAGGAUACAGGGACCAACCAGUCCUGAUCAUUAGCUUAGCCAGAGAGGUAAACUGACUGACAAUCAAUCUGCCAGGGAUCAAUUACUAUGGAAGCUCAUAGUGUGGGCCCCUAACCCAGACUGUGGGUCUGAGGAGGUCUCCUGGAGGUAGUGCUAUCCUAACAGAGACCUGAAGGGUACUUGGAAUCCAGCCACAGAAUACUAUUUACCAUCUCAUUUUACUCUCAUGAGAAUUCUCCCCACUGUAGGCAGGAUGGGUGUUGAUUUAAAAGAAAAAAAAAAAAGUAGCCUGGCGGGGUGGCUCACGCCUGUAAUCCCAGCACUUUGAGAGGCCAAGGCGGGCAGAUCAUCUGAGGUCAGGAGUUCGAGACCAGCCUGACCAACAUGGAGAAACCCCAUCUCUACUAAAAAUACAAAAUUAGCCGGACAUGGUGGUGCAUGCCUGUAGUCCCAGCUACUUGGGAGGCUGAGGCAGGAGAAUCGCUUGAACCCGGGAGGCAGAGGUUGCGGUGAGCCAAGAUCAUGCCAUUGUACUCCAGCCUGGGCAACAAGAGCGAAACUCCGUCUCAAAAAAAAAGUAAACAGAAUAACAAACUUAAGGGUGGCCAGCAUUAGAGCUGGAAUGGAACCCUGAUGUCCAAUGAGCUCCCUGUAGAGUGGACUUUGUACAGGACCAUGUUCUCCUAAAGUGACUAGAGAGCAGGAGCCACCUGUCACUCAAUGCAGCAGCAUUGGACCCUCCCAGCCAAACCCCACUCCCACCUCCCAUCCUACUGGAGUCUCUUUCCCUUCGUCUUGGUCUACUUGAGUAGAUAGGGUCCUCGUUGGUGCAAACAAUCUGUGAUUUAUGACCCAGAUAGUCCUGCCAGGUCACAGAGAAGUGUACUCUGCACCCAGCAGUCCUCAAGACAGACUUAGGCUCUCGGUUCCUGCAAGGCACCCCUAGAGGACAGCCUCUCAGCAGUACCCAGCACCCUGCACAGGGCCACUUUUGUAGCCUCCACCUGCCUGCUCACUCCCUUUUUCUCUCCUUGGCCUUCUCCACCCUGAAUGCUUGUGCAAGCAUGCUCACUCUCCUUCCCCAGCCCCUCUGCACACACUGACACACACUCAGCUCCCAGCUUUCAUCCUCUCUCCCACCUCUUGUGGUGAGUUCUGAGCCUCUCCAUGGCCAUCCUCCCAGCCCAGGCCAUCCUCCCAACCCAGCCUCUCCAUGGCCAUCCUCCCAGCCCAGACCAUCCUCCCAGCCCAGCCUCUCCAGCCCAUGGCCAGCCUCCCAGCCCAGCCUUUCCAUGGCCAUCCUCCCAGCCCAGGCCAUCCUCCCAGCCUAGCCUCUCCAGCCCGUGACCAGCCUCCCAGCCCAGCCUCUCCAGCCCAGGCCAUCUUCCCAGCCCAGCCUCUCUAGCCCAUGGCCAUCCUCCCAGUCCAGCCUCUCCAUGGCCAUCUUCCCAGCCCAGCCCCACCUCUCCAGCCCAUGGCCAUCCCUCCCAGCCCAGGUCAGGCUCUGAGCCCAGGCUCUCCAGCCCAUGGCUAUACUUCCAGCCCAGCCUCUCCAUGGCCAUCCUCCCAGCCCAGGCCAUUCUCCCAGCCCAGGAGUAUUUCUGGAAAUGCUCCCAGCCCAGCAUUUCCAGAAAAGGAAAAUACAGCCAAUGCUGAGAGUCUCAAAGGUCACUCAGUUCAGACCUGCAGAAAUGUUUUUGUUUUAUUUUUUUACUUGGGAUCUUUCAACCAGUCAGCCUGAUGCUCUUGUUUGAUUUCCAUGUUUGUUGUAGUGAAAUACUGAUAAUCAAAAAGUUAUUCUACAUGAUGAGCUGUUCCUCCUACUUCUUUACAGUUUCUCCAUUUUCCAAAAUUUCUACAAUCAAGAUGUAUUGCUUUUAUAAUCAUAAAAAGUUAAAAUGUUAACAUAUUCUGACAGAAAUAUAGGAAUUAUUAAGACUUUUUUCUAGGUGGUGGAAUUAUGGGUAACUGUUUUUUCUUUGUUCUGUAUAUUUCCAAAUCAUCUAAAAUCAACAUAUAUUGCAUUUAGGUUUGUGUGUGAGGGGUUUUUUCCCCCAUUUUUAAAUUUGUGUGUGGUUUUUUGUUUGUUUGUUUGUUUGUUUUUUUCUUUUUUUCAGAUGGGGGAUCUUGCUAUGUUGUCCAGGCUGGUCUCGAACUCCUAGGCUCAAGCAACCCUCCCAUCUCAGCCUCCCAAGCACCUGGUGAGGUUUUUCUCUAAAAAGGAAAAACAUGUGGAAGACAAUCAGAGAUGAUUUUUGAGUAAUGCAGAACAACUCCAAAAGAAUAAGCAGAAUGAAUGCUCAUAAGGUGAAAGCAUUUCAGAAAACCUAUUACAAGCAACAAUGGAAGAAAAUUGAUUGAAACUGUGCCUACCUUCCCUAACACUCUCCACCUUCAUCUGAGGUUUGUGAUCCACAGACUCAAGCCAUCAUGGACCACGUCUUCAUAGUCCCACACUAUUGUCUGCAUGAUUUAUACAAAUGCAAAGCCUACCAUUACUUAAAUGGUAAAAGAAAUACAGGAAGCAGAGACUGUGCUAUAUCAAAAUGUAUCUUUCUCUACUACCACUGUUUUGCUUCGUGCUGUGCAGAACUGCCACUAAGCAUUUUCAUAGUCGAGAGAGCCAGAGACACAGAAAGAGAGAAAUUAUGGUCAAAUUAUGGCACCAUACCAUUAACGUACGAGAGAUUGGUGCCGCUAGUGUAUGAUUACUGCUUUUAAUAUGAUUUUCGCUUUCUAUCUUGUAAAAUACUGUGAAUUUACUGCUGAGCCUGUGUACUGCUACUCUCCCAAAGAGAAAAUUACUUCUUCCAGAGGAUCUGCUUGCACAAGCGUAAAAUCUUUGCAGCUCUCUGAGCAGCAAGAGAACCACAUCAGACUUGAUAUGCUGAUUUGGCUCUUUUGAGUUACCUGUUCCAGAGAAUUUUGGGCAAGGAUUUUUCCAAGAUGUCAUUUUCUUUAUAUGUUAUUUUCUUUAUAUUUGUAUCCAUUCACAUCAUCAAGUGUCUUAUUGAGUACCUCCUAAUUGCAAAUGAUCUUAGUGGCUGCUGUGAGAGACACAUGGAUUCUAAUACAGGGUGCUUGGUUUAGAGAGACUUGUAAGCACCAACUGAUAUCGAGGGGGAAAACAAGCAGAGGGAACAGGAAGUGCAAAGGCCCUCAGGAAGAAAUGAGCAAGGCCAACAGGGCUGGGAAGAUGAAGGUAGAGGAGAUGAGAAUAAAGAGGUGGGUAGGGGUGCGGUCUUGUAACAUUUGAGGAGCUGAAUUAUAUUCUAAAUGUGAUAAGAAGCCAUUUGAAAGCUUUGAGCAAGAGAAUAAGGGCAUCUGAUUUUUUUUUUUAUCCCUCUAGCUAUGAGAAUAGGCUAUAGGGGACUAAAAGCAGAAGCGAGUAGGCCAGUUAGUAGGACGCAACUGCAGACAUUUAGGCUGGAGAAGACAGUGACUUGGACGAGGGUGGUGGUGUGAAGGUCACUGAGGUGUGUGGAGACUGGAAGGCACAGAGUCAGAGGACUUGUCUUCUAACUCCAUGAUACUGCUCCAGAUGAUGAACAGGCACUCAGAAGGAACCCAAUAAACAUGUCUUCCUGAAUGUAUGGCUGAAUGAAGAGUACCGACCCCCUCACUUAUAAGUAGGAGCUAAGUUAUGAGUAUAAAAAGGCGUAAGAAUGAGAUAAUGGGCUUUGGGGAUUCAGGGGGAAAGGGGUGAGGGAGGUGAGGAAUAAAAAACAACACACUGGGUACAGCAUAUACUGCUCAGGUGACAGGUGCAGCAAAAUCUCAGAAAUCACCACUAAAGAACUGAUCCAUGGAACAAAAAAAUCACCUGUUCCCCAAAAACUAUUGAAAAUUAAAAAAAAAAAUUAAGCAACCGAAUAGGAAUGCUCCACUGAUUGUAGAUAUUUUCUUUCUUUCUUUCUUUUUUUUUUUUUUUUUUGAGAUGGAGUUUCACUCUUGUCGCCCAGAUUGGAAUGCAGGGGCACGAUCUCAGCUCACCACAAC